UAAGCAUAUCAAUAAGCGGAGGAAAAGAAACCAACAGGGAUUGCCCUAGUAACGGCGAGUGAAGCGGCAACAGCUCAAAUUUGGAAAUCUGGGCUUUCGGGCCCGAGUUGUAAUUUGUAGAGGAUACUUUUGAUGCGGUGCCUUCCGAGUUCCCUGGAACGGGACGCCAUAGAGGGUGAGAGCCCCGUCUGGUUGGAUGCCAAAUCUCUGUAAAGUUCCUUCGACGAGUCGAGUAGUUUGGGAAUGCUGCUCUAAAUGGGAGGUAUAUGUCUUCUAAAGCUAAAUAUUGGCCAGAGACCGAUAGCGCACAAGUAGAGUGAUCGAAAGAUGAAAAGCACUUUGAAAAGAGAGUUAAAAAGUACGUGAAAUUGUUGAAAGGGAAGCGUUUAUGACCAGACUUGGACUUGGUUAAUCAUCUGGGGUUCUCUCCAGUGCACUUUUCCAGUUCAGGCCAGCAUCAGUUUUCGCCGGGGGAUAAAGGCAGCGGGAAUGUGGCUCUCUUCGGGGAGUGUUAUAGCCCGCUGUGUAAUACCCUGGUGGGGACUGAGGUUCGCGCUUCUGCAAGGAUGCUGGCGUAAUGGUCAUCAACGACCCGUCUUGAAACACGGACCAAGGAGUCGUCUUCGUAUGCGAGUGUUCGGGUGUCAAACCCCUACGCGUAAUGAAAGUGAACGCAGGUGAGAGCUUCGGCGCAUCAUCGACCGAUCCUGAUGUUCUCGGAUGGAUUUGAGUAAGAGCAUACGGGGCCGGACCCGAAAGAAGGUGAACUAUGCCUGUAUAGGGUGAAGCCAGAGGAAACUCUGGUGGAGGCUCGCAGCGGUUCUUGACGUGCAAAUCGAUCGUCAAAUAUGGGCAUGGGGGCGAAAGACUAAUCGAACCUUCUAGUAGCUGGUUUUCCGCAGAAG
rnacentral:rRNA from 1 species